GAUGAACGCUGGCGGCGUGCCUAAUACAUGCAAGUCGAGCGAACAGACGAGGAGCUUGCUCCUCUGACGUUAGCGGCGGACGGGUGAGUAACACGUGAAUAACCUACCUAUAAGACUGGGAUAACUUCGGGAAACCGGAGCUAAUACCGGAUAAUAUAUUGAACCGCAUGGUUCAAUAGUGAAAGACGGUUUUGCUGUCACUUAUAGAUGGAUCCGCGCGGCAUUGGCUAGUUGGUAAGGUAACGGCUUACCAAGGCAACGAUGCGUAGCCGACCUGAGAGGGUGAUCGGCCACACUGGAACUGAGCCGCGGUCCAGACUCCUACGGGAGGCAGCAGUAGGGAAUCGUCCGCAAUGGGCGAAAGCUUUACGGAGCAACGCCGCGUGAGUGAUGAAGGUCUUCGGAUCGUAAAACUCUGUUAUUAGGGAAGAACAAAUGUGUAAGUAACUAUGCACGUCUUGACGGUACCUAAUCAGAAAGCCACGGCUAACUACGUG
rnacentral:rRNA from 1 species